UACAGAGGUCCCAAGCGUUGUUCGGAUUUACUGGGCGUAAAGGGCGCGUAGGUUGUCGGACAAGUCUUAUGUUAAAUCUUCGGGCUUAACCCGAAAAUGUCAUAAGAAACUAGCCGGCUAGAGUGUUGGAGGGGAGAUUGGAAUUCUCGGUGUAGCAGUGAAAUGCGUAGAUAUCGAGAGGAACACCGGAGGCGAAAGCGAAUCUCUUGACAAUAACUGACACUGAAGCGCGAAAGCUAGGGGAUCAAACGGGAUUAGAUACCCCCGUAGUCC
rnacentral:rRNA from 1 species